rnacentral:rRNA from 1 species
GUGCUGCAUGGCUGUCGUCAGCUCGUGCCGUGAGGUGUUGGGUUAAGUCCCGCAACGAGCGCAACCCUCGCCUUUAGUUGCCAGCAUUCAGUUGGGCACUCUAAAGGGACUGCCGGUGAUAAGCCGAGAGGAAGGUGGGGAUGACGUCAAGUCCUCAUGGCCCUUACGGGCUGGGCUACACACGUGCUACAAUGGCGGUGACAGUGGGCAGCCAACCAGCGAUGGUGAGCUAAUCCCAAAAAGCCGUCUCAGUUCGGAUUGCACUCUGCAACUCGGGUGCAUGAAGUUGGAAUCGCUAGUAAUCGUGGAUCAGCAUGCCACGGUGAAUACGUUCCCAGGCCUUGUACACACCGCCCGUCACACCAUGGAAGCUGGUCACACCCAAAGUCGUUAUUCUAACCGUUUGGAGGAAGGCGCCUAAGGUAGGAUUGGUGACUGGGGUGAAGUCGUAACAAGGUAGCCGUACCGGAAG